UACAGAGGGUGCGAGCGUUAAUCGGAAUUACUGGGCGUAAAGCGUGCGUAGGUGGUUCGUUAAGUCUGAUGUGAAAGCCCUGGGCUCAACCUGGGAAUGGCAUUGGAAACUGGCGAUCUAGAGUGCGGUAGAGGGUAGUGGAAUUCCCGGUGUAGCAGUGAAAUGCGUAGAGAUCGGGAGGAACAUCUGUGGCGAAGGCGACUGCCUGGACCAGCACUGACACUGAGGCACGAAAGCGUGGGGAGCAAACAGG
rnacentral:rRNA from 1 species